rnacentral:rRNA from 1 species
CAUACGGGUGGCAGCAGUGGGGAAUAUUGGACAAUGGGCGAAAGCCUGAUCCAGCCAUGCCGCGUGUGUGAAGAAGGCCUUCGGGUUGUAAAGCACUUUCAGUGGGGAAGAAAGCCUUGGGGCUAAUACCCUCGAGGAAGGACAUCACCCACAGAAGAAGCACCGGCUAACUCCGUGCCAGCAGCCGCGGUAAUACGGAGGGUGCGAGCGUUAAUCGGAAUUACUGGGCGUAAAGCGCGCGUAGGCGGUCUGAUAAGCCGGUUGUGAAAGCCCCGGGCUCAACCUGGGAACGGCAUCCGGAACUGUCAGGCUAGAGUGCAGGAGAGGAAGGUAGAAUUCCCGGUGUAGCGGUGAAAUGCGUAGAGAUCGGGAGGAAUACCAGUGGCGAAGGCGGCCUUCUGGACUGACACUGACGCUGAGGUGCGAAAGCGUGGGUAGCAAACAGGAUUAGAUACCCGUGUAGUC